GCGGGAGUGGUGGAAUUGGCGAGACACGCGGCGUUUAGGGCGCCGUGCCUUCGGGCAUGAGGGUUCGAGUCCCUCCUUCCGCA
rnacentral:tRNA from 1 species